CCAGACAAAUACAUCAGCUCUUGGUAUACUCAUAAAACCGGUAGAAGGUGGGACAGGUUCUGCGUGAGAAUAUGUGUUACCUGUAAGGACUAGGUGUAGGGGUAGUGUGUGUGUGUUACCUGUAAGGACUAGGUGUAGGGGUAGUGUGUGCGUGUUACCUGUAAGGACUAGGUGUAGGGGUAGUGUGUGUGUGUUACCUGUAAGGACUAGGUGUAGGGGUAGUGUGUGUGUGUUACCUGUAAGGACUAGGUGUAGGGGUAGUGUGUGUGUGUUACCUGUAAGGACUAGGUGUAGGGGUAGUGUGUGUGUGUUACCUGUAAGGACUAGGUGUAGGGGUAGUGUGUGUGUGUUACCUGUAAGGACUAGGUGUAGGGGUAGUGUGUGUGUGUUACCUGUAAGGACUAGGUGUAGGGGUAGUGUGUGUGUGUUACCUGUAAGGACUAGGUGUAGGGGUAGUGUGUGUGUGUUACCUGUAAGGACUAGGUGUAGGGGUAGUGUGUGUGUGUUACCUGUAAGGACUAGAUGUAGGGGUAGUGUGUGUGUGUUACCUGUAAGGACUAGGUGUAGGGGUAGUGUGUGUGUGUUACCUGUAAGGACUAGGUGUAGGGGUAGUGUGUGUGUGUUACCUGUAAGGACUAGAUGUAGGGGUAGUGUGUGU